UUUUUUUAAUCGCAAACAAUAACAAACUUAAUUAAACGAUGACGGAUGCCUCUGAAGGUGCGUGCGCCCAUCCCUAAAAUUUGAAAGUGGACUGGCCCGACUGAUUUUGUGCAGUUUUACAACUGUGUCGAUCUUAGAUUGCAAGAUGUCUACUAACCAAGAUGACUCAUGCUGACGCAACGAAGAGGACGCCAUGGGAAUCAGCUAAUGCAAGCUAAAAGCGCCCAUAAAGUCGAAACAUUUACGUCUCAAACUUGGGUAAAUCUCUCGGUUUUACGAUUAAAAAGAAAUCCUACGCGGGGCAAAAUUAGAGCUUGUGUAAGAAAGGUUUGUGACUGAUAUUUACGUUAUUACUAAUUUUGAGAAUUGACGAUGAUAUU